rnacentral:tRNA from 1 species
CAGGAUGUAGCUCAGUGGCACAGCACCUGUCUGGCAAGCAAAUGUGAAGUCCUAAGUUCUAUUCUUGGUAUCCUCC